rnacentral:lncRNA from 1 species
UUAUUAUUAUUAUUACAAAGUAAAAAAAAAAAAAGGAAACUAAGCUAAUGCAGCAAUUAGGUGCCCCAAUCAUGGGGCUGCAUUGCUAAUGCAGUGCAAUCCAUGUAAUGAGGGAUACCAAAUAUUUCUUAAAUUUUUAAUGGUAUGGGUUUGAUUUUGUACUCUCCGCCCCACCUUCAUCCUAAUUCCUAUUAUACAUAAAUAUUUUUUUAAUUUUUAUUUUAUUAAUUACAGUAUUGAUUAAUAAAUUUUCUUUAUUAAUUGGAGAUUACGUAGUUCAUCGUUGUCCUGCUCUUGUUCAUUUGGUCAAGACCAUAAUUACAAUCAAUAACGGAAAACAGCUUGCAGCUCUUUGAUUUAAUUAAUUAACGAUUUUACGAUAUCACUCGGGAGUUGUUGAAAGUCGUGAAUAAUUGGAUAACCUGAUCAAAUAAGAAUAUUAAUAAAAAAUUAAGUCUUAUAUUUUGUUUAACCGAAUUUUAAAUGAACGAGUGUUAAAUUUAAUUUUUUGUUUAAUUGCACAAAUUUUCUUAACAGUAAAUAUAACUAUGGAUAUUUUA